rnacentral:sRNA from 1 species
AUCUUACUCUGCCUUUUUUCUUAAAGCCAAUGGUUAAAACAGAUUGAGUGGUUUAAGAAAACCAGACCACAUUACAUUAACCGGUCAGUCAAUUAGGGAGGGUAAAAUAGUCAUUCACAACCCAACCCAAGAAAAGCCCUAGAAAACAGAGUGAAUAAAAAGGGUUGCGCCACUCUUGUCUUCUUCGUAACUCAUCUUCCUCAUAAGUCUCUUUGUUAAUCUCUAUCGUUUUUGUUUUGUGUUUUGAUAUUUGGGGAUAAAAUCCGCCUCCUUGAGUAGCUUUAUGAACCCUAAGUUAUUUAGGCAAUUUCAUACUUAUUGGCUUAGUUAGGAGGCGUAAAUCAAUUCUGAUCAUUCAAUACUUUUCUGUAUUGUUUUGAUUCGUGGCUUCUUUGGUUUUUGUGGAGAAGCUUCUUUGUGUUUUCUUAAUUCAAAUCAAAGCUUCUUCCCCAAAAAGUUUCAGACAGAAGAAUCUGUGUAUAGAGUGAUAUGUAUAUGAAUAGCCUCCGAAUAACGGGAAUGUGAAAUAUAGGAACACCUUCUUGUUCAGACAGAGGCUUAUAUCAAAAUCCGAAUCAGUUUUGGGUGUGAAAAAGCUCUCUCCUUUUUUGCCCUUCAAUUCCAAAUAUCCUUCAAUGGAUAGAUUCGAAUAUCUACUGAAUUGUUCUUUCAAGUUUAGUUUUAUUGUUUUUUGUUUUAAUCUUCUGAUUAGGCUCUAGUAGUUUUCUCUAGAUUACUUUGAUUUGGACAGGAAUUAGGAGCCAAUGUAUAUGUAUCAUUGUAAUUAGGAACCAAGACACAUUAUUGUUUGCCAAAGCUUUCACUUGAAUUAGCCAAAUAGUUUCAAGAAACAAAAUGUAGCAAAAGGAAUGAUGUUUAAGAGACGAAGAUAAUAUAAAAUGGGUUUGAUUAGUAGUAACUG